CAUACCGCGUAUUUUGGUGUCCCGAUCUCCAAGUGAAUCAAGGGGAAGUGGAAAAACUGAAAGACAUGAUCGUGCCACUUAAAGAUUCAUGGGACAGACUGAAGGGAACCUCAUACUACAGUGCUUAUGUGUUGCGCCUAGGAGCUACUCUUGAAGACUUGAUGAGCAGUGUCACUCAGAAAAGGCCAUCGAUCCCUCCUAGACCUUUUCAAGCAACCAACAAAAAUGGCUCUUCAUCCUCAACUGAAGAAGAAAAGGAAAAAAAAGAAAAAUAAAGGGAACAAAACCCAUGAAAAUAAAGAUUUUUCCAAACAGAGGAUGAACACAUUGCUGGCUAAAGCAACGAAAGAAUUGUUUUUGCAGCCAGAAAACUCUGAUUCUGAUUUUAACUUUAGCUUUAUUCACAUUUCUGUUUGGUGCUAAAUUUCAUUCAAAAUUUAUGUCAUCAGCAUUGGUAACAAUGGCUGCAUUCUCCCCGACAUUUUCUAAAUUUUUUGCAACCAUUGAAAUUUUACAACACGGGUACGGAUUA